rnacentral:tRNA from 1 species
GGGUCGGUGCCCGAGCGGCCAAAGGGAGCAGACUGUAAAUCUGCCGGGAGACCUUCGGAGGUUCGAAUCCUCCCCGGCCCA